AGAGUGAGUGGAAUGGACCUAACAGGUUGCUCAGUGGACAUGUUUGCUUAACAUUCAGUACUUCCCAGAAGAUUGUAAGCAGGAAUCCCACCUCAGUGCAUGGAAGAGAGUUAAAAGGGGGAAAUAUAUCUGCCUUGGCCUGUGCUGUCUCCUGCUUUGCAUCAGUCAGGGUUCACCUACGCUUGCUCCCCACAUCCUACCAGCUCUGCUAUCUUGUGCUUUCAACUUUGUUCUCACCUGGUAUAUCUGUGCCUGUCAGUACAUAGUUAGGAGGCAUCAAAUAUCAAACCUGGAAUUAAACCACAUGUAUUAGUCUGCUCAGGUUGCUGUAACAAAGUACCAUAGACUGGGUGGCCUAAACAACUGAUUUCUAAAAGUUCUGGAAGCUGGAAAGUCCAGGAUCAGAGUGCCACCCUAGUAAGGUGAUGAUGAGAGCUCUCUUGCUGGCAUGAAGAUAGCUACCUUCUUGCUGUGUCCACACAUGGUAGAGGAAGAGACAGAAAGCUCUCUAAGUCUCUUCUUAGAAGGGUGCUAAUCUCAUCCUGAAGAUCCCACCCUCAGUGUUUCAGUAUGUGGGGACACAAUUCAUUGUAUAGCACCCACCCUCUCAAAUUCAUGUCCUUUUCCCAGGAAAAUUACAUUCAUUCCAUCUCAACAGCUCCAACACUUUUAAGUCAUUCUUUUAUCAACUCUAAAGUCUGUUAGAGUCCAAAACCUUAUCUGAGUGUCAUUUAAAGCAAAUAUAGGUGAGAUUCAAGAUUCAGCUCCUAAGGCAAAAUUCUCCUCUCACUGAACCUGUGAAACCAGACAAGUGAUGUGCUUCCAAAAUACGAUGGUAUUCCUAUUCCAAGAAGUAGAAAUGGGGAGAAGAAAGGGGUAACAGAUUGCAAGCAAGUCCAAGACCUAAAAGGCAAAUUAUAUUAGAUCUUAAGGCUGGAGAAAAUCAUCUGAUUGAAUGUUCUGUCCUCUACACCCACUUGGGUUAGAGCAUACCCAUCCCACCAUCACCAUGAUGGCCCUUUGGGGCAGCCCUGUCCCUUUUGGUCAAUACUGGGCAGAAAACAAUAGAAAUAAAACACAUUGUUAAUGUGUAACUUAAUAUAAUCUUUCCAGAGAGCAACUUUGCAGUGCAAAUCAAAAGCCAUAAAAUUUUGCAUAUCUUGUGGAGCUGGAGCAGUGAUUUCAAGUGUAUCUAUUUAUAAUAAUAAUAUGUCUAUAGUUGCAUAAAAUAUUUCAAUAUAAGAAUGUUUGUCACAAUCAGUAUAUUAAAAUGAAACAUAGAAACCCCAGAUGUCAACAGAGGUUGAUGUAGUGCCUCAAUAGCCUAAUGUGCAGACAAAAAGAAUGACAAUUAACAUCAUACUCAGACUAUUUAAUGUCAUAUGAGAAAUUCAAGGUAUAAUAUGUAAAUGCCACAGGUUACCAUACAACAUGUGAAUUGUGGUAGAUGCUGUGUGUGUCACAGCCAUAUACCUUCACCCUCACUAUUUCAGUGGAUGCUUGCUUGACUUUUCAUUGCCAGCAUCUGCUUCUCUUUGCCUGAGUUUUCUUUGUCCAUGUGCUUAGCAGGCCAGAAGUGCUAAAGAAUAAUGCUCCUGGAUGAGCACUUGCCCAGUAAUUGAUGGAGGUCAUGUACAAACUGCCCAGGUUAUUCACUCUUUUGCUGAGGUGACUUUGAGAACAGUGCUCCGUACUGACUCCCAGAGUUCCUUAUUGGGAUCAGAUCCAGGAAUCCACAGUGAUGACUUCCCAGCUGGAAUGGAAAUGUCAUGAGCCAUGUGCAUGAAUGCAUCAGCUCACUGAUGGCAGAGCAACAAGAUCAAGAGCCUGUGGCCUUGCAGCUUGCUUUCCUAGAAGUGCUCACACCUGAAUCUAAGAAAAAUGCAUUCUGUCGUAUGUUCAAUAAGAAGACCUAUGUCUUGGAGAAACUGAAUUUUCCUGCUGAGAUGAUAGACCAUACUUGGUUCUGUUUCCGGUUUGAAAUAGUGCCAUAUUUAUCAAACAACACUUUUAGGUAUCAUCAGAGGAAUUUAUGGGAUCUUCAGUUUUCUUAUUUGUAAAUGAUGCAGUAUUUAAUAUAUCCAAAGGAAUUUAUGCAAAUAAAUGCACAUUAUUCAUAAUAAUUUGGAAUACAAAUAUGAGAAAUCUCAUUUUAAUUUUUAUCCAUAUGAACUGUCCUCUUGCAAAGUAUAAGUGAAAGAAUAUAUCUUCAUGUAAAUAUUUUCAAUUAAAAAAUGAACAAACCA